rnacentral:rRNA from 1 species
AUGCUUUUCUUUUCAAUCUCAGUUGGGCGUUCAAUGCUGCUGUUUACCAUCCCUCACCUGCCAGUAGCCGCAGGUGGAUUGAAAUCCAAUGAUCUGUUUGCUACUGCUGUUGGAUUUUGCAUCAUAUCAGCUAUUAUUGCCGCCGCUAGAGAUUUAUUUGCCUGCACGGCUUCUAGAGGAACAUGGUUUCUAGCUUUGAAGAUGCUUCUGCUUAUCUUAACAUGCAUGGUCAUCAUUCCCCUUUUGGUCGGUUUGUUGGUUGACUUGUUGCUGAUAUCACCAUUCAUCGGGCCUGACCAUGAUUUUCCAGUUCUGGACUUCUUCUGCAUUUGGUCCCUAGGGUCUCUAUUGAAGAAAUUGUGGAUUAAGUUGCUGGCCUAUUUCAUUGAUGAAAGGUGGGAGCAGGCAAAGGUGUACUGGUAUUCCAGGUCUAUACCACUGUGCUGGUUCUUCCAAGGUAUGUUCAUGCCUAUGGCGAUGAAGCUGCUCGCUGCUCUGGGUGCUCCUUAUGUACUCGCCAAGCUCGUCUUCCCAAGAUUCGGCUAUUCUGCCGCCAUGAACUGGACAGUCUACCGUUUCGCAUGGUUGGGUAGCCUCGGCUUCUGUGUGCUGUGCUAUCUUGGCAAGGUGCUCUGCGUCCAACUCCAUGAUUCUAUCAGGGAUGACCGCUACAUCAUCGGGCAGAGGUUGAAAGACGUUGGAUACGGUAACUGA